AGAGUUUGAUCCUGGCUCAGGAUGAACGCUAGCUACAGGCUUAACACAUGCAAGUCGAGGGGAAACGACAUCGAAAGCUUGCUUUUGAUGGGCGUCGACCGGCGCACGGGUGAGUAACGCGUAUCCAACCUGCCCACCACUUGGGGAUAACCUUGCGAAAGUAAGACUAAUACCCAAUGACGUCUCUAGAAGACAUCUGAAAGAGAUUAAAGAUUUAUCGGUGAUGGAUGGGGAUGCGUCUGAUUAGCUUGGUUGGGCGGGGUAACGGCCACCAAGGCUACGAUCAGGUAGGGGUUCUGAGAGGAAGGUCCCCCANAUUGGAACUGAGACACGGUCCAAACUCCUACGGGAGCA
rnacentral:rRNA from 1 species